ACAUAGCAGGGGGUUGGAACUGGAUGAGCAUUGUGGUCCUUUUCAACCCAGGCCAUUCUAGGUUCUAUUCUAAGAUUCAAUUCACACAGUACUGAGAUUUUGGGGUGCUUGCCUCUCAGUGGAAUGCAUUAGGACCAUUGCAAGGCCCGUGCUGCACCCAUGGGUCUGCACAAUGCUCAGCCAGGAGCCAGACGUAAGCUAAGAGGUGACAGCUGCAGUUGGGAGAAGAAACACAGUGAGCCCUCCAAGUUUAUGUCAGUGAAUCAGAACAACAAAGUGCAAAGUAAUUGCUUCCAAGAAACCUCCCUUCAACCUGCAAUUGGAAAUGCUUUCCGUACCUUUGUUGCUCAACAGCAUACCAGCAUUCUCCAAGGGGAAUGGUUUUGUUUCUGUGAUUGGUGUGUAACAACAGCUUUGCUGCUGCUGCUGCUGCUGAUCCUGGGGGUUUUGGUCCAAAAGCAAUGAAAGCUCCAAAUAUGCCCAAGAUGAAGGUCUGGUCUCACUUGCUCCAUGGAUGUGAACUGACACAACAAGCUGCUGGCUUGUUGGAUCUUUUAUGGGCAGCUCUAUUAACGAAGGAGCGGAGAAAAUGAUAAAUGACACCUGGAGUUAGCCAGGGUAGAUUACUCACAGGCGCUGCGUGUAGCUGAUCUCAAAAAUAAAUUCCAGCUAAAUUCUUUAAAAACUUUAAGGAGGGGGAGAGUGGAGGUGAAACGAGUCAGUCAGCCCUUCAAAUAUGCACUCCCAGACUUUCCAGCCUUCAUCCAGCAGAAGUGAAGUCGGUCCUGUGCAUCCUCUGGCACAGUGCGGGAUGCAGCAGGUGAGAUGCCAGAAGCCAAACUCCAUCCCCUGCAUGGACAUCCAAAGGCCAGUAAAGCUCACAAGUUCAGUCCACAUUCGACUUGCAGCCGGUUCCACUUGGACAGAGGGUAAGACUUCAAAAAUCCAGCUCUGGAUAUGUGUUUAAUCAGGACAAAGCUUAAUUAGAGCCGUCUGGAAGGCUUUUUUUUUUCCCCUACAGUUCUCUUCUCACGCAAAACAGAGCUUCAGUCAGUGUGGAGGAUUAUGAGGAAUUUUAGAAACAGGGUGGAUGCUGUUGUCGAAAAUGCCUUCUUCAAACAAAUGCUCCUUUGGGGACUUUGAAGUGGUUGAGCUAUUUAUUCAUUUGACUGUCAAUGAAGCACUUUCACAGAAAGCUGCUCUAGAAAUGGAGUCUUUCCAGGCGUGGUGGGGUGAUGGAUUGCUGUUCUGUAUGGAAAUCAGUUAAAAUUUUUCAGUCUUCUAUUCAAACGGGAGACUUCUAUCACUGGCACAGCAGUUGAUCAAUUCACCAUCGUGCUUUAAACUCAACAACCUCCAGUAACCUAAUAAAGAUAUAUUUUAAAUAUAUAUGACCGGUUAUAUGUAAUUUAACAAAUAUAUUCCUCCUGUGCCUUCGCCUUACGUUACACAGAGGGCACUUUAACAGUUUGAGUGAUGUUGCUUUUAUGAUGCACAAGUCAUUUUACUGAACAGCAUGACAGAAGUUUGCUCAGGCAGGAAUUUCAUUAACUUCGGGGUCCUUGUUGCACUUAGUGACAUUGCUCUUGGCAUGCAAGAGUAAUGGGUUCCAGGGCCUGAAAUCUCCAUUAUUUUCCAUCCAGUUUAUUUAAAAACCAUUGGGUGGAUUACAAAAGGCUGCUAAACAAUGAUUAUUUGUUGCUGUGCCCAGAAGUUUGGCAUUGCAGGGUUCCCUGAGAAUGCUUUGGGGUGCUGCAGAAGGAAAUGCUGUAGAACAGUUCCUAGUCAUCAUGCUCUUUAUUUUUUGCUCUCAUAGGUUGAAACGUGGCUGCGCCUCUCCCCCUUCUAUACUUUCAGUAGAUGGAAACUGAACUCCAAACUGCCUUGGGCACUUGGAGUUGUGUCUUCAUGGACAAAGCAAAGAGGCUGGCUGCAGUGACGUGCAGCUUGUAAAAGCUCCCUGCUGUAGCAGUGUCACUUUCAGGCACAUGCAGCAGCCCAAGGCAGCCAACACACACCUAUUUGUUCAGCAAGCAUUAAAAAACAGACCCACCUUGGCCAGAUCUGCUCCCAGACCAUGGCCAUCUCAGCGUGUUUAUGGCUUCCACUUGUGGGCUGUUUGGGAUCAUUAAAUAAAUGUCACAGGAACUCUGGAGGUGGUAAGUAAUCAGAGCAGCCGGGAGAGCUGAAACAACUGCAAGGGCAAGAAAAAUAUUUUGCAAAGGAAACUUCACUGAACUCUUCCACAGAAGACAAAGGAGGUGAAAAGGAGCAACUUUCUGUUUCAUUUUGAAUGGAUAUUUUUCCACUCUCAUUGCUUUCCGGAAGACAAAAA